rnacentral:rRNA from 1 species
UGCCAGCCGCCGCGGUAAUACAGAGGGUGCGAGCGUUAAUCGGAAUUAUUGGGCGUAAAGGGCGUGUAGGCGGAUGUUUAAGUUAGGUGUGAAAUACUCAGGCUCAACCUGGGGACUGCAUCUAAAACUGGGCAUCUAGAGUAUAGUAGAGGGAAGUGGAAUUUCCGGAGUAGCGGUGGAAUGCAUAGAUACCGGAAGGAACAUCAGUGGCGAAGGCGGCUUCCUGGACUAAUACUGACGCUGAGGCGCGAAAGCAUGGGUAGCAAACAGGAUUAGAUA